UUUUUUUUUUUUUUUUGCAUUGAUUUUUAUGGUGUUUUAAGAGAUGGGUUUGAGUUCUAAGCAGGUUUCUAGUGAUGGGUUAGAUUGGAGCCAGACCCUUUUGCAGCAGGCACAGACCUUGGAGCUCCCUAAACCUCCUCUUUUAAGGCGGCAACAGCAACAAAACCAGCAGCAAUCAGAGCCCUUGAAGUGCCCGAGAUGUGACUCAACCAAC
rnacentral:misc_RNA from 1 species